AUAGUUGUUAUGGCAGGAGGGCUAGUCUUGUAAGUCACCUCUCCAUUAGCAAAAGUGGAAACUUCAUCAUAAUUAUUUUAUUCUCUUUGUUUGUUACUCCCUUGUAGCCAUUUAAGUGUUUUCUCUGUUGCAUUUUCUUGCUUCAACAUGUGCCUUGGAGUUUUUGAUUGAAUGCCAGGCAUUUUGUGAAGUAGAACAACAAAGACAGGUAAACACAGUCUGAAUCCAAAUAAUAGUAUACCGUAUCAUAUCUUCAGUCAGAAAACAUUGAGGGGAGUGCUCUGAGUGAGUCUAAUCUUUAGAUGGCCUGGGUCAGGUUAUUCUUGCAGGUUUAAUUGAUUUUCUUUGCCUCUAAUUUCAAAUUUCUGAGGGCCAUCUUGGGAUUUUAGAUUUCAUUUAGAAAGUCUCGAGAUCAGAACUGUAGAAAUAUUCCAGAGUUCUCAUUAUCCUUUAAAAAUGAGCUGCCAGUUUUCUGAAUGCUGCGAGGUCUCACUCUACUUUGUAGACUAGCAUUAAGCUUUUUGGUUACUGAAGAAUUUUCUAUGUGAAUUCCCACCACGUCCCCUGCUUUCUGUGCUGCCAGAGAUAUCUCUUGUCUUUGCUGCUCCAUUCUAACUUUCAGAAGACAGCUGCAGUACACUUGUGAAAAAGAGACUUCUGUCAGCUUUCCUGCUGGCCUUUGGUGCAUUUCCUGUUUUGCAUUUCAUAUGGGAAUGAGUGUUUGUGUUGGUGUAGGCUCAGUCUGUGGUUACUGCUCUUUAGGAUUUGAAUCAAUUUUUCUAGUUCCAGAUACAUUUCAUAAAUGUAUAGAAGGUUGGAUUUUUCUUCAAUUUUCUGGCCUAUGGCUGGAGUACAGUGGUGUGAUCUCAGCUCACUCCAACCUCUGCCUCCCAGGUUCAUGCAGUUCUCCUGCCUCAGCCUCCUGAGUAGAUGGGGUUACAGGGGCCUGCCACCAUGCCAUGGUAAAUGCAAGGAACAUUUUAUUCAACCGAACCCUGGUAAGUGUUAUACUCUUGAUCACUCACUUUUUCAUUGGCACCUAUUUUCUUGUCCAUGCCUAAAGUGCCAGUAUCCCAAGGGCAUAAUUCUCAAUGCAUAAAUCCAUUCACUCUACACUUCCCAGGGAUCUAAUCCACUCUUGAUUUUAACUGCCACCUACAUGGUUAAUGUCAUUUAUAUCUUUAUUUAUAGCCAUAACUUGUCUUCUGAGCUUCAGGUACAUAUGUGCAUAUUGCUGGUAAACAUCUGUAAUUUUUGUAUUUUUAGUAGAGAUGGGGUUUUGCUAUGUUGGCCAGGUUGGUCUCAAACUCCUGACCUCAGGUGAUCUACACCCCCUCAGCCUCCCAAAGUGUUGGGAUUACAGGCCUGAGCCACCAUGCCCAGCCCAAUCUAUUUUUAUCAAAUGAGAGAGUGAGCAUAUCAUUGUCAGGAGUAUAUAAUCAGUAGUUUUAAGCAUCACCAAUUAAGGUCUGGUAGAAACAGAACUGAGUUCAC
rnacentral:lncRNA from 1 species